rnacentral:rRNA from 1 species
UACUCGAGUGGCGAACGGGUGAGUAACACGUGGGCAAUCUGCCCUGCACUUCGGGAUAAGCCUGGGAAACUGGGUCUAAUACCGAAUAGGACCACUUGGCGCAUGCCUUGUGGUGGAAAGCUUUUGCGGUGUGGGAUGGGCCCGCGGCCUAUCAGCUUGUUGGUGGGGUGAUGGCCUACCAAGGCGACGACGGGUAGCCGGCCUGAGAGGGUGUCCGGCCACACUGGGACUGAGAUACGGCCCAGACUCCUACGGGAGGCAGCAGUGGGGAAUAUUGCACAAUGGGCGCAAGCCUGAUGCAGCGACGCCGCGUGGGGGAUGACGGCCUUCGGGUUGUAAACCUCUUUCACCAUCGACGAAGCUCACUUUGUGAGUUGACGGUAGGUGGAGAAGAAGCACCGGCCAACUACGUGCCAGCAGCCGCGGUAAUACGUAGGGUGCGAGCGUUGUCCGGAAUUACUGGGCGUAAAGAGCUCGUAGGUGGUUUGUCGCGUUGUUCGUGAAAUCUCACGGCUUAACUGUGAGCGUGCGGGCGAUACGGGCAGACUAGAGUACUGCAGGGGAGACUGGAAUUCCUGGUGUAGCGGUGGAAUGCGCAGAUAUCAGGAGGAACACCGGUGGCGAAGGCGGGUCUCUGGGCAGUAACUGACGCUGAGGAGCGAAAGCGUGGGGAGCGAACAGGAUUAGAUACCCUGGUAGUCCACGCCGUAAACGGUGGGUACUAGGUGUGGGUUUCCUUCCUUGGGAUCCGUGCCGUAGCUAACGCAUUAAGUACCCCGCCUGGGGAGUACGGCCGCAAGGCUAAAACUCAAAGGAAUUGACGGGGGCC